rnacentral:lncRNA from 1 species
GGAGGCCCUGUGCUUUAUACGAGUAACUAAAACAUAAGUUCCAUUUCUAACAAUAGUCAAGAAACCAUUCCUGAACUAUUAUCUUCAGUUAGACAUUACAUAACCUAUUCAAACUGAGAUAAGUGUGCAGACAAAACAUUUCCAGCAAAUCAAUGAAAACUCUUCUUGUGGAAAAAGUUAAAAAGGUAACAUAUUGUUAAGUCUCUAAUUUAGUCAAUUACCUUCCAGGUUCACAGCCAACAAAAGCAGACAAACUUUCAGAUGAUUUCAUGGCGGUGCUUCCAACAUGCUUUCGCUUCGUCUUGACAACAUCUAGUGGUGUUGAAAUGACUACAACUGGG